AACGAACGCUGGCGGCAGGCUUAACACAUGCAAGUCGAGCGGGCAUAGCAAUAUGUCAGCGGCAGACGGGUGAGUAACGCGUGGGAAUCUACCCAACCCUACGGAAUAACGCAUGGAAACGUGUGCUAAUACCGUAUACGCCCCACGGGGGAAAGAUUUAUCGGGGUAUGAUGAGCCCGCGUUGGAUUAGCUAGUUGGUGGGGUAAAGGCCUACCAAGGCGACGAUCCAUAGCUGGUCUGAGAGGAUGAUCAGCCACAUUGGGACUGAGACACGUCCCAAACUCCUACGGGAGGCAGCAGUGGGGAAUAUUGGACAAUGGGCGCAAGCCUGAUCCAGCCAUGCCGCGUGAGUGAUGAAGGUCUUAGGAUUGUAAAGCUCUUUCACCGGAGAAGAUAAUGACGGUAUCCGGAGAAGAAGCCCCGGCUAACUUCGUGCCAGCCGCCGCCGUAACAC
rnacentral:rRNA from 1 species